UGAGAAACACCUUGCUCCUGAACUCUGAUGGAGACUAAUGAUCAGAUCACGGGACACCAGCUGACCAUUAUCCUAUUUGUUGGCUUCGAGGAAACCAAGUACAUCUUGCUGUUUCUUCUUAAUCGCCGUGGAGCCAGACGAAGGUGCGAUAUAUACACGGAUCACCAUCCUGGGAACACUGGCUUGCGAUUGUUUGGAUGCUGAAAACAGCUGCAAAGCAGCUGCAGCGAGGCUAGAAGGGAGCUAGGCGCCCAACCUGCACCAGUUCACAUUCUUACAAAUAAUGUAGAAGGGUUCCUUUACCCCAAAACCUCACCAAAAUUUAUUUGAAUUCUCGACAACAGUCAUUCGUCCUGGAAUAAGGCAGAAUCUCAGUGUUGUUUCAAUUUGCAUUUAUAGAAUGGCAAGAUAUGUUAAACAUUUCUCCAUGUAUUUGACUGUUCAUUUGUA
rnacentral:lncRNA from 1 species